rnacentral:rRNA from 1 species
UACGGAGGGGGCUAGCGUUGUUCGGAAUUACUGGGCGUAAAGCGCACGUAGGCGGUUUGGAAAGUUGGGGGUGAAAUCCCGGGGCUCAACCCCGGAACUGCCUUCAAAACUCCCAGUCUGGAGGUCGAGAGAGGUGAGUGGAAUUCCGAGUGUAGAGGUGAAAUUCGUAGAUAUUCGGAGGAACACCAGUGGCGAAGGCGGCUCACUGGCUCGAUACUGACGCUGAGGUGCGAAAGCGUGGGGAGCAAACAGG